ensembl:lncRNA
GCAUGUUUAAGCUUGAUCAGCUGUUGUUAGAAUUUAUUUAAUAUUAAUUUCUAGUAUCAGCUGAUGUUUGCUGGAGCCACAGCUGUAAACCUGCUGGUCAUGAUAUCAGUUUGUAUAUCUGGUGAGAGGGAAACAUGAAGAUGAAACCAGGAGAUGUCCUUACUGAAGCAUCAGAGCUGUGAUGGAGAAACAGGUUUACCUUUUAGGUGACAUGAAUGAGUUGAAGUUAUGAACUGUUUCUGAGAGACUAAUAACACCAGGCUCCUUUUUUAAGCAGCUGACAGCUGGUAACUGCAGGGGCGGGUCUAGGAAAGUUUUGCCAGGGGGGCCAGGUAGGGCAUUAACAGGGAAAGGGGGGCACAAAGAAAUAUUUUUAUUUCUUAUUCUCAUUUAAAAUAUCUCGCUUUUAUUAAAUAAUUAUCUGAAUCUUGCGAACAAAGUUUUUAUCUGACGUAAAAUGUAUAGAAAUCAUACAUAUACCAAAAAGACUAUACAUCACUGUCACAACAGCGUUUGUUUUCAUUCAAAGGCUUUAUGGCUUUAAUUCCUGGUGGGCUGGUCUGUAGUCAAAAUGCCCAAUUUUUUGUCCCAGUCCAGCCCUGCAGGUUAAUACUGGCAGUGUCACCAUGCCAGCUGACUGUAUUUCAUCAUCAGCCAGUGUUGUUCUUUAUACAUCAAUAUUACCAAAGUUUACCAUAAGGCAGCAUAGAAAGUAUUUACUUGCUUUCAGGUUUUAUUCAAAUGUUAGUCUUUUCAGUUGUUUCCUCACUUUUUUCCUGUUUCAAAAUCAAACACCAGUUUGUGAGAAGAUUAUCUUCUUUUUUUAAUAGGCAGAAAAAGUUUUGCAUUGGCUAAUUUCCCAAUUGUAUGUUAAAAAUGUUCGUAUUUUAAUAUUCAAAAAUAUUUUUGCCCAAAACAUAUGUGCACUAUAUGUCAGUAAAAAUACUAUGCAAAUAUUGCUGUCCUUGAAUGCUGAAUAAGCACUGACAAAGCACUGAUUGUAUCUCUUGUACUUUAUCAACAGAGUAUCUAAAAACUUUGCACCGUAGUGGUUAAAAUCUCAUUCUAAUAAGAGUUAAAAGUGCAUUUGGUUAUUAGGUUUAUAGGGUUACUGAAUUAUGGUUAACGGUUGGUAGAAUUUUUUUUAACAUUAUCUGCCAAUUACAUCUGCCACCCUUCUCCAAAUCUGUGCCCCUACCUGGCCCCCCAACAAAAAUUUUCUAGACACGCCACUGUUGAAGCCAUCGCUGCAACAGACUCUGAUGAAAUUGGUUGUUGAGAUUUUCACUGCAUGCAGUCACAGUUCAGCUGAUAGGACAGAAGAGCUCGUGUAUAGUUAUUGUCUGAAACAUUUUUCCGCCUCCAUUUCUUCUUAUAGCUCCUGAUGAAUUAGACUAUUCAGUAUUAGAGGUUUACAAAGUGCAUGGAGGAUAAACUCAGAUGGAUCAAAACCCCAGUAACACCUUAAUCAGGUCAUCGCAAAGAAAGAGGUUAACAAACCCCCCCCCCCCCCCCCCCCCCCAUGAAAACCAGAAAUAUAUCAGUCAAGCGAUAUUGUUGUUGCUGGAGUUUUUUUGAAUCGCUUCAUAAUUAGCCAAAAAAGUUUGAUACACAGAGGAUAAAAAGAGAAAUGGCUGAAUUAAAACUGUAAUUAAAGUACUUAAUAAGCAUAAAGCUCUCUUGCAAAACUAUAUAUAUAUAUUUUUUUGAAUGUAUCUAUUUAUUUACACCUCCCAGAGUGUGCUGUCACAUUGGUAUUUUUGUGUAUCCCAGUAUUUUUAGGUAGUUUAAGGAAUUAUCAGUUUUUUUACUGUUUGUAAAAUAAAUAAAUAAAUCCAGUACAAAAAUAAAUGUGAAUAAAUCAACUGCUCCUGUGUGAAUCUGUGCACACUUAUGAGCUCUUCUACGUG